UAUAAUAAUAACCACUUUAUUAUUGCCUCUAGGGCAUAUUUCCAAAAUCAGUGAUGGGCUCUCAUGCACUCGGCCCUCCUGUCCUAGUGGAAGGCCCUCCAUGCUUGAUCCUCCGAGCGUCUCGGCGGUCAUGAACACCACCAAAGCGACCUUGUCCUUCACCGUGAGAUCAGCCACGACUCUGGUCACCUUGACCACACAUCCCUUCGAUGUUCUGGAGGAAUUAUUUUUGCUGGAGCUGCCGAACAGACAAUUUCUCUUACUUGCCCCUACUCCCUUCCAGUACGCUUCUCCACUGAGAUUCUUAGCAAUAGAUGCUACUCUCUUUUCUUUUGGUAUAUUAGAAUAGCGCCCAAAAGUAUGGCCAACAAUCCCACAACACUC
rnacentral:lncRNA from 1 species